rnacentral:lncRNA from 1 species
CAUAUUCUCUGCAUCUGUAUUUAUUUAAAAAUGCUUUUGCAACCUGACACUGUUCAGCUUUUUUAUCUUUUACCAGUAUUUGGGGACUUAUUGGGGAUUCCUUUGAUAAUUUCAGGAAGAAAGAAGUGGAAUGGAAGGAGCCAGUAACUGUCCCAGGUCAGAAAACGCCUCUGAAAAGGAUCUACAUUACACCCAAAGUUCAUUGGAUAACUGCACCCUCAACAAUCAGGAGACAAUAAGUGGUGUAGACAGAGCUAAUAUCUUCCCCAAAUCAGAUGGUACCUCUGAAGACAUUCAGCAUUCCACAGACUGUUCACAGGUUGAGACUUUCCACAUUCAGGAGACAAUAAGUGGUACGAACCAAGCCAGUAACUGCCCCAAAUCAGAUGGUGCCUCUGAAGACAAUCAGCAUUGCACAGACAGUUCACAGCAUGACAGUAUCUUCCACAUUCAGGAGACAAUAAAGGGUACGAACCAAGCCAGUAACUGCCCCAAAUCAGAUGGUGCCUCUGAAGACAAUCAGCAUUGCACAGACAGUUCACAGCAUGACAGUAUCUUCCACAUUCAGGAGACAAUAAAGGGUAUGAACCAAGCCAGUAACUGCCCCAAAUCAGAUGGUGCCUCUGAAGACAAUCAGCAUUGCACAGACAGUCCACAGCAUGACAGUAUCUUCCACAUUCAGGAGACAAUAAAGGGUACGAACCAAGCCAGUAACUGCCCCAAAUCAGAUGGUGCCUCUGAAGACAAUCAGCAUUGCACAGACAGUUCACAGCAUGACAGUAUCUUCCACAUUCAGGAGACAAUAAAGGGUAUGAACCAAGCCAGUAACUGCCCCAAAUCAGAUGGUGCCUCUGAAGACAAUCAGCAUUGCACAGACCGUCCACAGCAUGACAGUAUCUUCCACAUUCAGUGGCUCUUGAUGUAGAACCACCCAUAGAUCCUUCUGCAAAAGAAGUCCAGAAAUCUUCAAUUGAACAAGCAACAGAAAUAACAAGUACCACAACUACCAUGAAAGGUACUGUUUGUUAAACUUCAUAGAAAGCCUUUAUGAACUUAAAAAUCUCUGUUUUUUCUGAUGUGCUUUGUUCAUUCAGGUCGAAAGGUGGUAAAGAAAAAGAAAUGGGACAGUGAUGAAAUGAAUGCAGUUGAAAAGCAUCUAAACAGGUUCAUCAAAACUUGUACAGUGCCAGGAAAACAACAAUGUGAGGCCUGUAUAAAUGCUGAACCUGUUGCCUUGAAAGACAGGGAUUGGUUGUCUGUAAAGUUCUUUGUGAAGAACAAAAUCACUACCCUUAAAAGAAGAAUGUAAAGUCAGUUAUUUUAUUUUGUUUGGUAUCUUAUUUUCUGGUAUUUUAGAUUUCUGGUUAUUACAUUUGUUUUAAAAGGAUCUUAGAAUCUCUUUUUUUUUUUUUUGGAAAUGGGUGCAAUUCAGU